rnacentral:rRNA from 1 species
UACGUAGGUGGCAAGCGUUUGUCCGGAUUUAUUGGGCGUAAAGCGCGCGCAGGCGGUCCUUUAAGUCUGAUGUGAAAUCUUGCGGCUCAACCGCAAGCGGUCAUUGGAAACUGGGGGCUUGAGUACAGAAGAGGAAAGCGGAAUUCCACGUGUAGCGGUGAAAUGCGUAGAGAUGUGGAGGAACACCAGUGGCGAAGGCGCUUUCUGGUCUGUAACUGACGC